rnacentral:misc_RNA from 1 species
GAGCUGUUGAUGUGCAUAGUCUAUGCUUUGUGAUUUUUUGCCAUUUCCUCCACAUCCAGUUCCACUUCCAAUACCGGCGAAUCAACGCGCAUACUGAAAUGACUGUUCUGAACAGGACCAUGAUCCACAGCUGUUCGUAGACAAUAUAUGACUCGGCCAACUAUGUCCGUCAUGGGAACUGGACCAAAUAUUCGACUGUCGUUUGCUUCCGUGGGCUUCAACUUCUCAUUGUCAGCCAAAACCCAACACUGAUCCUUCUCAAGAACAAAAGGUUCAUCCUUUCCAUCAUUAGACACCAUUUCAUGCCCUUCACUUGCAGCUAACCUUCUGACCAGAUAGCUUUCUGAAUUCUUAGGAUCCUUCAAAACCACUACAUCUCCAACAAAAGCAGCCAAUGGAUCUACUAAUUUCCGAACAAGAAGAGUUCCCCCUUGAUCUCCUAUUGUUGGA